rnacentral:rRNA from 2 species
UUAAGUUAUUAAGGGCGCACGGUGGAUGCCUUGGCACUAGAAGCCGAUGAAGGACGUUACUAACGACGAUAUGCUUUGGGGAGCUGUAAGUAAGCUUUGAUCCAGAGAUUUCCGAAUGGGGAAACCCAGCAUGAGUUAUGUCAUGUUAUCGAUAUGUGAAUACAUAGCAUAUCAGAAGGCACACCCGGAGAACUGAAACAUCUUAGUACCCGGAGGAAGAGAAAGAAAAUUCGAUUCCCUUAGUAGCGGCGAGCGAAACGGGAAGAGCCCAAACCAACAAGCUUGCUUGUUGGGGUUGUAGGACACUCUAUACGGAGUUACAAAGGACGACAUUAGACGAAUCAUCUGGAAAGAUGAAUCAAAGAAGGUAAUAAUCCUGUAGUCGAAAAUGUUGUCUCUCUUGAGUGGAUCCUGAGUACGACGGAGCACGUGAAAUUCCGUUGGAAUCUGGGAGGACCAUCUCCUAAGGCUAAAUACUCUCUAGUGACCGAUAGUGAACCAGUACCGUGAGGGAAAGGUGAAAAGCACCCCGGAAGGGGAGUGAAAUAGAACCUGAAACCGUGUGCUUACAAGUAGUCAGAGCCCGUUAAUGGGUGAUGGCGUGCCUUUUGUAGAAUGAACCGGCGAGUUACGAUUUGAUGCAAGGUUAAGCAGUAAAUGUGGAGCCGUAGCGAAAGCGAGUCUGAAUAGGGCGUUUAGUAUUUGGUCGUAGACCCGAAACCAGGUGAUCUACCCUUGGUCAGGUUGAAGUUCAGGUAACACUGAAUGGAGGACCGAACCGACUUACGUUGAAAAGUGAGCGGAUGAACUGAGGGUAGCGGAGAAAUUCCAAUCGAACCUGGAGAUAGCUGGUUCUCUCCGAAAUAGCUUUAGGGCUAGCCUCAAGUGAUGAUUAUUGGAGGUAGAGCACUGUUUGGACGAGGGGCCCCUCUCGGGUUACCGAAUUCAGACAAACUCCGAAUGCCAAUUAAUUUAACUUGGGAGUCAGAACAUGGGUGAUAAGGUCCGUGUUCGAAAGGGAAACAGCCCAGACCACCAGCUAAGGUCCCAAAAUAUAUGUUAAGUGGAAAAGGAUGUGGCGUUGCCCAGACAACUAGGAUGUUGGCUUAGAAGCAGCCAUCAUUUAAAGAGUGCGUAAUAGCUCACUAGUCGAGUGACACUGCGCCGAAAAUGUACCGGGGCUAAACAUAUUACCGAAGCUGUGGAUUGUCCUUUGGACAAUGGUAGGAGAGCGUUCUAAGGGCGUUGAAGCAUGAUCGUAAGGACAUGUGGAGCGCUUAGAAGUGAGAAUGCCGGUGUGAGUAGCGAAAGACGGGUGAGAAUCCCGUCCACCGAUUGACUAAGGUUUCCAGAGGAAGGCUCGUCCGCUCUGGGUUAGUCGGGUCCUAAGCUGAGGCCGACAGGCGUAGGCGAUGGAUAACAGGUUGAUAUUCCUGUACCACCUAUAAUCGUUUUAAUCGAUGGGGGGACGCAGUAGGAUAGGCGAAGCGUGCGAUUGGAUUGCACGUCUAAGCAGUAAGGCUGAGUAUUAGGCAAAUCCGGUACUCAUUAAGGCUGAGCUGUGAUGGGGAGAAGACAUUGUGUCUUCGAGUCGUUGAUUUCACACUGCCGAGAAAAGCCUCUAGAUAGAAAAUAGGUGCCCGUACCGCAAACCGACACAGGUAGUCAAGAUGAGAAUUCUAAGGUGAGCGAGCGAACUCUCGUUAAGGAACUCGGCAAAAUGACCCCGUAACUUCGGGAGAAGGGGUGCUCUUUAGGGUUAACGCCCAGAAGAGCCGCAGUGAAUAGGCCCAAGCGACUGUUUAUCAAAAACACAGGUCUCUGCUAAACCGUAAGGUGAUGUAUAGGGGCUGACGCCUGCCCGGUGCUGGAAGGUUAAGAGGAGUGGUUAGCUUCUGCGAAGCUACGAAUCGAAGCCCCAGUAAACGGCGGCCGUAACUAUAACGGUCCUAAGGUAGCGAAAUUCCUUGUCGGGUAAGUUCCGACCCGCACGAAAGGCGUAACGAUUUGGGCACUGUCUCAACGAGAGACUCGGUGAAAUCAUAGUACCUGUGAAGAUGCAGGUUACCCGCGACAGGACGGAAAGACCCCGUGGAGCUUUACUGUAGCCUGAUAUUGAAAUUCGGCACAGCUUGUACAGGAUAGGUAGGAGCCUUUGAAACGUGAGCGCUAGCUUACGUGGAGGCGCUGGUGGGAUACUACCCUAGCUGUGUUGGCUUUCUAACCCGCACCACUUAUCGUGGUGGGAGACAGUGUCAGGCGGGCAGUUUGACUGGGGCGGUCGCCUCCUAAAAGGUAACGGAGGCGCUCAAAGGUUCCCUCAGAAUGGUUGGAAAUCAUUCAUAGAGUGUAAAGGCAUAAGGGAGCUUGACUGCGAGACCUACAAGUCGAGCAGGGUCGAAAGACGGACUUAGUGAUCCGGUGGUUCC